AGUGAACGCUGGCGGUAGGCCUAACACAUGCAAGUCGAACGGCAGCACAAAGGAGCUUGCUCCUUGGGUGGCGAGUGGCGGACGGGUGAGGAAUACAUCGGAAUCUACUUUUUCGUGGGGGAUAACGUAGGGAAACUUACACUAAUACCGCAUACGACCUACGGGUGAAAGCAGGGGAUCUUCGGACCUUGCGCGAUUGAAUGAGCCGAUGUCGGAUUAGCUAGUUGGCGGGGUAAAGGCCCACCAAGGCGACGAUCCGUAGCUGGUCUGAGAGGAUGAUCAGCCACACUGGAACUGAGACACGGUCCAGACUCCUACGGGAGGCAGCAGUGGGGAAUAUUGGACAAUGGGCGCAAGCCUGAUCCAGCCAUACCGCGUGGGUGAAGAAGGCCUUCGGGUUGUAAAGCCCUUUUGUUGGGAAAGAAAUCCAGCCGGCUAAUACCUGGUUGGGAUGACGGUACCCAAAGAAUAAGCACCGGCUAACUUCGUGCCAGCAGCCGCGGUAAUACGAAGGGUGCAAGCGUUACUCGGAAUUACUGGGCGUAAAGCGUGCGUAGGUGGUUAUUUAAGUCCGUUGUGAAAGCCCUGGGCUCAACCUGGGAACUGCAGUGGAUACUGGAUGACUAGAAUGUGGUAGAGGGUAGCGGAAUUUCCUGGUGUAGCAGUGAAAUGCGUAGAGAUCACGAGGAACAUC
rnacentral:rRNA from 1 species